UUCCUAUUAUCCGCAGGUUUGGUCUUCUC
rnacentral:piRNA from 1 species